rnacentral:lncRNA from 1 species
AAAUUUGGUUGAAAUAAAAAGGGUAAUUUUGUAAAUUAAUUAAAAUAACCUAAUAAGACAAAAAUGAUAAAAGCUAUCAUUUUUUUUCCAUUCUUUCUUCUUCAACCGUGGGAAAGAACCGAAAAUGGCAGCCAUAGAUGAGCUCCAUUCGACCAAGCUUCUAUGGCUUAUAUAGGUACGGUUUUUGUCCCGUUUUUAAUGAUUUUCGUUUUUUUGAUAUCCCCGAAGCUUAAAUUUAUUAUUUCUACCAAUUGAUUGAAGAGAAAUUAGAGUUUAAAAAUUUACCCAUUCAUGAUAUGGUUGUGUUUUGAUGAUUUAUAGUAGAUAAUGAAUGUUUGAUGUGUUAAAUAUGAGUUUUAUUCAAUGAAUUUCGGUAAAAAUGUCAAAAAGGUUUAAAUUGUAAAAGUUAUAAAUUGGUCAUAAGUGUGUGAAUUAGUGAAAAUUUGGAGUUUCCAUAGAAGAGAAAAAUGUUCAGCAUGUCUUAAACCUUAUAGAAAUUGAAUAAAAAAUUAUUUUACGAGCCUAGGGGUAAAAGUGUAAUUUUUGAAAAGUUAGGGGGCAUAAUUGUAAAUUUUCCAAAUUUUGAUAUAUGAAUUGAAUUGGUUAGUGUGUUGAUAAAAUGUGUUAAAUAAGUGUUAUUUGACAUGUUAGAUCAAGAAAACAUGAAAUUUUGGAUUAAGAUUAGGGAAGAACAAAGUUGUGUGCUAAGUCAGGAAAGUUAGCCGUUUCGACAUUUGAGGUAAGUUGGUAUGAUGAUAAUACUGCAAUAAUGUUAUUGCCUUGAUAUUAAAUGAGAUGUAAGUUUAAAUGUAAGUAAUACAUCAAUUUUACUUGUAUUAUGAUAUUUUAUAAUAAUAUUGGAAAUAUGUUUGUUGAUAAUUACUUGAUUGGUGAAAUUGUUGGAAAAGAGAGAGAAACCUCGGUUGAACCUUUGGAAAGAUUGAAUGAUACAGAUGGUAUGUAGCUAGGUCACAUGUAUGGUGCUGAGUGCACAUCAUGUGUACAAGAGAGCUACGAGACAUUAUAAUGUAGCUAGGUCGCAUGGGUGAUGCUAUGUGUACACCAUGUAGACAAGAGAGCUACGGGAUAUAUGUAGCUAGGUCGCAUGCGUGGUUCCAGGUGAAGGAUACCAUGUAGACAAGAGAGCUACGAGAUAAAUUGGCUAGGUCACAUGGGUGGUACUAAGUGUUCACCAUGUGUACAAGAGAGCCGAACUAUAUGAUGGGUGGAGCUAUGUGCUGAAACCACCAAGUAUCGAGUAUUGAUCCAAAGUGUUCAACAAGAGACUUACUAUGUAUUGCUUUGUGAGUUUUGUGAGGAAUAAGUGCAGGAACUUGGUUAUGUGAAUGAUGUGUUCAUUAAGUGACUGAGAUGUGGUAAGGUUAUAAACAAGUAAGUUCGUACGUAUUAAGUAUUAUUAUAUUGAGCAUUUAAUGCGUUGGAAUCAUAUAAAUGGAAUAUUUAUGAGUAUUUUAAUGAUUAAUGAUUUAUCGACCAAACGAACGGCACUUAGCGUGCGAAGUAUUGAGGAUGACACUUAGUGUGCGAAGUAUUGAGGAUGGCACUUAGUGUGCAAGACAUCUGAAAUGACACUUAGUGUAUGAAGUAUUAAUGAUGACACUUGUGUGCGAAACAUCCGAAAUGGCACUUAGUGUGCGAAGUAUCGAGGAUGGCACUUAGUGUGCGAAACAUCCGGUAUAGCACUUAGCGUGCAAGACAUCGAUUGUGCAGUGACAUUUCGUGUAAUUAUGAUUUUGUUAUGGAUCGAUAUAGGUAUGUACAUGUAUGUAUGAGCAUGUUAAUAAGCAUUAUUAUAAUUGAGAUUUAAUGCUGUAUAAUUGAAUUGUUGAUGAUUAUGAUUGUACGCAAGUAUUUUAUGAAAAUUUGGCAUUGGAAAUUCCUGUUGAACCUUAGGAAUAAAUUAGGAUACAAAGGGCAUGUCAUUAAAGUUACAUUGAUUUGGCUUCGGGCCAUGAUAUUGGCACUUAGUGUGCGAUAUUCCCGAGUAUCCAAUUUUUAUUCCAAAUAGUUCAACGGGUAUAUCGAAAAUAUGAAUGAGUAAUUUAGCCUUGACAGAUUUGAGUUACUGCAGUAGUGUAACUUUGAAAAUACACUAAAAAUAGUGAAAAAUGAGUUAGAGGCAGAAUAAAAUAUGAGAUUAAAGCUUAAUGAGUCUAUAUUCACAUGAAAGAAAUAGGGGAAGAAAAAGAAUUUCAUAUUGUGUGAUAUUUGAAUUCUUGUGAAACAGGGUCUGAAUGAAUUCGAGAUUCCCUGUUUUGACUUUAGAAAUUCACCAAAAGUUGUAAAAAAAUUAUUAAGAGUCAUACCUUACAUGCAUGGAUUCCUUAUUGAGUAUAUUUUUAGGGGAAAUAAACGUCAUGGUCGUUGGAAUUCUUUACAGGGAGAAAUUCGGUUCGUAGUGCACAGGGGUCAGAGUGGUCAUACCCUGAAACAGGGGAGACUUUAACUAAUAAACUGUACUAAUUGGCCCAACCAAAAAUUCUAGAAAAAAAUUAGUAAGUGUAAAUAUGAGUCUAGUUUCAAUAGAAAUAGACGAGAACAUUAUUCGUGUCUUGUACUAUGAGAUAAUUGAACUUUAGUACAGAAGGGUCGGAACUGUCAGACAAUGAAUCAGGGGUAACUUUGAGGAAUAAACUGUACUAUUUGGCUUAACCAAAAAUUCUAGAAAUUUUAUGGAAGAAAGGAAAAUAAGUCUAGUUUCAUGGAAAAUUAAUGGAACUUAAUUCAGAGUUUCGUAGCUCCAGAUAUAAAUAAUUUAGUGACUAUGAUUCAGGAAAACAGCCUUAGCUGAUCUUGUGUAAAAAGAUGAAAUCAUGUGAUUAAUGAUUCUAUUUUCUUGAGCAUAUUUAUUGAGAAAUGAGAUAAUAUUGUUAAUUAAAUUACUUAUUAUUAUUAAUAUUCCAACUUACUAAGCUUUUAAGCUUACACCAUUUUCCCAUUUCUCUUAGUGUUGUCAGGUUGGCUCGGGGUUGGAGAUCGUCGGAAGUAUCAUCACACUAUUAGUUUAUCAAAUUAGAAUAAUGGUAAUUCUUAUUUAUUGUCAAAUAAGUGGCAUGUAUAGAUAAUAAGUUAUUGAUAUUAGGUAAUAUUAUGAUUUAGCCAAAUGUACAGGCUCAUUUUGCUUCAUUGUAUAUAGCCAUAAGAUUUGGCUCAUAAUGGUUAAAGUUAUGUAAACCUAUUUUAUGUAUGCAUAGAUAAAUAUCUUGGUGUGGCUAAGUUAAGAACACAAAAAGGGCUUGGAAAAUAGCAUAUGAUACACAUGGGCUUGAGACACGGCCGUGUGUCUUAGUCGUGUGAAGAACACGGCCACCACACGGGUGUGUGGUCUAGCUGUGUGAGCAAGUCAGUAGCUAGCUAAUUUUUACACGGGGUCUAGACACGGGCGUGUGACCCUGCUUUGGUAAAAAAAAAUUACUAAGUGUCUG